CUCCCUCCCCUGGCUGACUAUGUCCCAGUCCUCUGCUUCCUCCUACACCUGUUGCGACAACAUGCUGAUCUCUGCCUUCCACAACCCUCUGGAGAGGCCAAACCAGAUCCUCUCAUAUCCCCAGGAGAUCUAAUUUAUCUCAAAUGUUCUAAAUCCACAGGACUAUAACCAAGGUGGAGUGGCCCCUAUCUGGUCUACUUGGCUACCCCUACAACGGUCAAAGUUGCUGGACUCCCAUCCUGGUUUCACAUCACUCAGGCUAAGAGUCUGACAUACGUGCAUUCACCAGUGAAGUUGUCUUGGCUAAAACACCUGGCGUCAGUGUCUACUUGGGCAUCAACCGUCAUCCCGUCGACUCCCCUAGGCUCCAGUACAGCACCCCCUGCCAGCAGGAAGUAGUUAAAGAGAAAAACCUUCGCCCCUUUUCAUAAUAAUCAUAAGAUGGGAUAUAAAAGGGUUGUUGGCCCAGACCAGACACUCUAGCCAGAAAAGACUUCAGCCAGAAUCAGAGAGCUCCUGUCUCCCCCACCCCUAGAGAUUUACCUGUAAUUCUACAUCCCCCACCCUUCGGAAUCUGCCCCUGGUGCCAAACGUAUGCCAAUGAAAUGCCUGUGCAUCUCUAAUGGCCUUAGGGCACUGCCCUAAGCUUAGGCUACUUAUAUUCCCCCACGCCACAUGUCUGUGAGAGAGAUCGCCAGACUUCAGCAGCCAGCGUGCCAGUCAUCUCUCUCCGUGUUCUCAGAAUAAAGGCCUCUUUUGUUUUAUA